rnacentral:rRNA from 1 species
GUCAUACGCUCGUCUCAAAGAAUAAGCCAUGCAUGUGUAAGUAUAAAUAGUUAACUUUGAAACUGCGAAUGGCUCAUUAUAUCAGUUAUAGUUUAUUUGAUGAAGAAUACUAAUUGGAUAACCGUAGUAAUUCUAGAGCUAAUACAUGUAUAAAGUCUUGUAGACUGCAUUUAUUAGAAUGAAAACCAUAGGUUUCGCCCUAUUCGUGAGUAAUAAUAACUAAUCAUAUCGUAUGCUUAUGUAACGAUGUGUCUUUCAAGUUUCUGCCCUAUCAGCUUUCGAUGGUAGUGUAUUGGACUACCAUGGCGGUAACGGGUAACAAAGAA